AUACGUAGGUGGCAAGCGUUGUCCGGAUUUAUUGGGCGUAAAGCGAGCGCAGGCGGUUUCUUAAGUCUGAUGUGAAAGCCCCCGGCUUAACCGGGGAGGGUCAUUGGAAACUGGGAGACUUGAGUGCAGAAGAGGAGAGUGGAAUUCCAUGUGUAGCGGUGAAAUGCGUAGAUAUAUGGAGGAACACCAGUGGCGAAGGCGACUCUCUGGUCUGCAACUGACUCUGAGGCUCGAAAGCGUGGGGAUCAAACAGGAUUAGAUACCCUGGUAGCCCACGCCGUAAACGAUGAGUGCUAAGUGUUGGAGGGUUUCCGCCCUUCAGUGCUGCAGCUAACGCAUUAAGCACUCCGCCUGGGGAGUACGGCCGCAAGGCUGAAACUCAAAGGAAUUGACGGGG
rnacentral:rRNA from 1 species